rnacentral:rRNA from 1 species
GUCUUCGGAUUCAGAGACUAAGCGAAAGUGAUAAGUUAGCCACCUGGGGAGUACGUUCGCAAGAAUGAAACUCAAAGGAAUUGACGGGGGCCCGCACAAGCGGUGGAUUAUGUGGUUUAAUUCGAUGAUACGCGAGGAACCUUACCAAGACUUAAAUGGGAAUUGACAGAUUUAGAAAUAGAUCCUCCUUCGGGCAAUUUUCAAGGUGCUGCAUGGUUGUCGUCAGCUCGUGCCGUGAGGUGUUAGGUUAAGUCCUGCAACGAGCGCAACCCCUGUCACUAGUUGCCAUCAUUCAGUUGGGGACUCUAGUGAGACUGCCUACGCAAGUAGAGAGGAAGGUGGGGAUGACGUCAAAUCAUCACGGCCCUUACGUCUUGGGCCACACACGUAAUACAAUGGCCGGUACAGAGGGCAGCUACACAGCGAUGUGAUGCAAAUCUCGAAAGCCGGUCUCAGUUCGGAUUGGAGUCUGCAACUCGACUCUAUGAAGCUGGAAUCGCUAGUAAUCGCGCAUCAGCCAUGGCGCGGUGAAUACGUUCCCGGGCCUUGUACACACCGCCCGUCAAGCCAUGGAAGUCUGGGGUACCUGAAGUCGGUGACCGUAACAGGAGCUGC